rnacentral:rRNA from 1 species
GACGAACGCUGGCGGCGUGCCUAAUACAUGCAAGUCGAGCGGACUUGAGGGAGCUUGCUCCCGAUGGUCAGCGGCGGACGGGUGAGUAACACGUGGGCAACCUGCCUGUAAGACUGGGAUAACUCCGGGAAACCGGGGCUAAUACCGGAUAAUUCAUUCCCUCACAUGAGGGAAUGCUGAAAGACGGCUUCUCGCUGUCACUUACAGAUGGGCCCGCGGCGCAUUAGCUAGUUGGUGAGGUAACGGCUCACCAAGGCCACGAUGCGUAGCCGACCUGAGAGGGUGAUCGGCCACACUGGGACUGAGACACGGCCCAGACUCCUACGGGAGGCAGCAGUAGGGAAUCUUCCGCAAUGGACGAAAGUCUGACGGAGCAACGCCGCGUGAGCGAAGAAGGCCUUCGGGUCGUAAAGCUCUGUUGUCAGGGAAGAACAAGUACCGGAGUAACUGCCGGUACCUUGACGGUACCUGACCAGAAAGCCACGGCUAACUACGUGCCAGCAGCCGCGGUAAUACGUAGGUGGCAAGCGUUGUCCGGAAUUAUUGGGCGUAAAGCGCGCGCAGGCGGUCCUUUAAGUCUGAUGUGAAAGCCCACGGCUCAACCGUGGAGGGUCAUUGGAAACUGGGGGACUUGAGUGCAGAAGAGGAGAGCGGAAUUCCACGUGUAGCGGUGAAAUGCGUAGAGAUGUGGAGGAACACCAGUGGCGAAGGCGGCUCUCUGGUCUGUAACUGACGCUGAGGCGCGAAAGCGUGGGGAGCGAACAGGAUUAGAUACCCUGGUAGUCCACGCCGUAAACGAUGAGUGCUAAGUGUUAGAGGGUUUCCGCCCUUUAGUGCUGCAGCAAACGCAUUAAGCACUCCGCCUGGG